rnacentral:rRNA from 1 species
CCUACGGGGGGCAGCAGUGGGGAAUAUUGCACAAUGGGCGCAAGCCUGAUGCAGCCAUGCCGCGUGUAUGAAGAAGGCCUUUGGGUUGUAAAGUACUUUCAGUCGGGAGGAAGGUGGUGAGCUUAAUACGCUCAUCAAUUGACGUUACCGACAGAAGAAGCACCGGCUAACUCCGUGCCAGCAGCCGCGGUAAUACGGAGGGUGCAAGCGUUAAUCGGAAUUACUGGGCGUAAAGCGCACGCAGGCGGUUGAUUGAGUCAGAUGUGAAAUCCCCGGGCUUAACCCGGGAAUUGCAUCUGAUACUGGUCAGCUAGAGUCUUGUAGAGGGGGGUAGAAUUCCAUGUGUAGCGGUGAAAUGCGUAGAGAUGUGGAGGAAUACCGGUGGCGAAGGCGGCCCCCUGGACAAAGACUGACGCUGAGGCGCGAAAGCGUGGGGAGCGAACAGGAUUAGAUACCCUCGUAGUC